ACGGGAGGCAGCAGUGAGGAAUAUUGGUCAAUGGGCGAGAGCCUGAACCAGCCAAGUAGCGUGAAGGAUGACUGCCCUAUGGGUUGUAAACUUCUUUUGUUCGGGAAUAAAGGAGCCUACGCGUAGGCUUUUGCAUGUACCGUUCGAAUAAGCAUCGGCUAAUUCCGUGCCAGCAGCCGCGGUAAUACGGAAGAUGCGAGCGUUAUCCGGAUUUAUUGGGUUUAAAGGGAGCGUAGGCGGCCUUUUAAGUCAGCGGUCAAAUGUCAGCGCCCAACGCUGGCCUGCCGUUGAUACUGAUGGGCUUGAAUACACACAAGGAAGGUGGAAUUCGUCGUGUAGCGGUGAAAUGCUUAGAUAUGACGAAGAACACCGAUUGCGUAGGCAGCUGACCAGGCCGUAAAUGACGCUCAUGCACGAAAGUGCGGGGAUCGAACAGGAUUAGAUACCCUGGUA
rnacentral:rRNA from 1 species